UACAGAGACUGCAAGCGUUAUUCGGAUUCCCUGGGCGUAAAGGGUGCGCAGGCGGCCAAGUGUGUGAGGCGUGAAAGCCUGGAGCUUAACUCCAGAAUUGCACCUCAAACUACAUGGCUAGAGCAUUGGAGAGGGUAGCGGAAUUCACGGUGUAGCAGUGAAAUGCGUAGAUAUCGUGAGGAACACCAGAGGCGAAGGCGGCUACCUGGACAAUUGCUGACGCUCAGGCACGAAAGCGUGGGGAGCAAAAGGG
rnacentral:rRNA from 1 species